AUGUUCUGUUGGCAAAUCGGCUGAAAGGCCGAGACGCAAAGCUACGGUGUCUAAACGGCAUUUGACCGCAUGAUCGACCGGCUGCAAGU
rfam:Firmicutes bacterium CAG:176 genomic scaffold, scf91